rnacentral:rRNA from 1 species
GACGAACGCUGGCGGCGUGCUUAACACAUGCAAGCCGAACGGAAAGGCCCUGCUUUUGUGGGGUGCUCGAGUGGCGAACGGGUGAGUAACACGUGAGUAACCUGCCCUUGACUUUGGGAUAACUUCAGGAAACUGGGGCUAAUACCGGAUAGGAGCUCCUGCUGCAUGGUGGGGGUUGGAAAGUUUCGGCGGUUGGGGAUGGACUCGCGGCUUAUCAGCUUGUUGGUGGGGUAGUGGCUUACCAAGGCUUUGACGGGUAGCCGGCCUGAGAGGGUGACCGGCCACAUUGGGACUGAGAUACGGCCCAGACUCCUACGGGAGGCAGCAGUGGGGAAUAUUGAACAAUGGGCGGAAGCCUGAUGCAGCAACGCCGCGUGCGGGAUGACGGCCUUCGGGUUGUAAACCGCUUUCGCCUGUGACGAAGCGUGAGUGACGGUAAUGGGUAAAGAAGCACCGGCUAACUACGCG